UACGUAGGGUGCGAGCGUUUGUCCGGAAUUACUGGGCGUAAAGAGCUCGUAGGUGGUUUGUCGCGUUGUUCGUGAAAUCUCACGGCUUAACUGUGAGCGUGCGGGCGAUACGGGCAGACUAGAGUACUGCAGGGGAGACUGGAAUUCCUGGUGUAGCGGUGGAAUGCGCAGAUAUCAGGAGGAACACCGGUGGCGAAGGCGGGUCUCUGGGCCGAUACUGACGCUGAGGAGCGAAAGCGUGGGGAGCGAACAGG
rnacentral:rRNA from 1 species